GACGAACGCUGGCGGCGUGCUUAACACAUGCAAGUCGAACGGAAAGGCCCUGCUUUUGUGGGGUGCUCGAGUGGCGAACGGGUGAGUAACACGUGAGUAACCUGGCCUUGACUUUGGGAUAACUUCAGGAAACUGGGGCUAAUACCGGAUAGGAGCUCCUGCUGCAUGGUGGGGGUUGGAAAGUUUCGGCGGUUGGGGAUGGACUCGCGGCUUAUCAGCUUGUUGGUGGGGUAGUGGCUUACCAAGGCUUUGACGGGUAGCCGGCCUGAGAGGGUGACCGGCCACAUUGGGACUGAGAUACGGCCCAGACUCCUACGGGAGGCAGCAGUGGGGAAUAUUGCACAAUGGGCGGAAGCCUGAUGCAGCAACGCCGCGUGCGGGAUGACGGCCUUCGGGUUGUAAACCGCUUUCGCCUGUGACGAAGCGUGAGUGACGGUAAUGGGUAAAGAAGCACCGGCUAACUACGUG
rnacentral:rRNA from 1 species